rnacentral:rRNA from 1 species
UACGUAGGGUGCAAGCGUUAAUCGGAAUUACUGGGCGUAAAGCGUGCGCAGGCGGCUUUGCAAGACAGAUGUGAAAUCCCCGGGCUCAACCUGGGAACUGCAUUUGUGACUGCAUGGCUGGAGUGCGGCAGAGGGGGAUGGAAUUCCGCGUGUAGCAGUGAAAUGCGUAGAUAUGCGGAGGAACACCGGUGGCGAAGGCGGCUUCCUGGACCGACACUGACGCUGAGGCGCGAAAGCUAGGGGAGCAAACGGG